rnacentral:piRNA from 1 species
CAGACAUGGAUCCUGCCCUCGAG